AGUAAAUAAAGACGUAGAAAGAAAAACCCCUCAAAAAAUCAGGUCAGAAGAUUUUAAGUGGAAAAUAAAAGGUGCGGAUGCGAAGCAAGUGGAGGUGGAAUCUUAUCAGCGAUGCGCACUUCGCAGUUAACUCUGCCUUCUUAACACGUUUCUGCAGUUAUAAAUUCCAGGGGAAGCAGCAAACCGAGAGCACCGUUCUUCCUGGUAGCUGGAGGGCGGGAGGGCUGACAACUAUUCUUCCCCAGGUAACUUGCUGUGGUUUGAUAACGCCACUCGGCUUUCAUCUGAUGAACUCCUAGCCCAGGUGGCAUCGGAAAUGAGAGAAGAGCCUUGCUGGUACGACGAAAGGCUGCUUUGGAAAGAGAGAGGCACCUGCCAACACCGCCAUCGGGACCUCUUGGCUCUAGAACCUAUGGGGAGCUGGGACCACGGGUUUGCACCACCAUCCUGGCAUACUCCCCUCUUCAAAUGUUAUUCUGCCAGUUUUCCGAGGUAUCAAUCAAUUUAUUAAAACUUCCUUCAGGUAA